GGCCACACAAAGGCCUCCUUCUCGGCAGAACAGAGGAGAUGGAGAUGAGCUAUUGGAGGGCCGCUUUAGCAGCGCUUAGUGCCAUGUCGAGGCGAGGCGACGAGAGACGGAGCAGAGGAGAGCAGAGGGCUGGGGGGCCGGGGGGGUGAGAGGGGGUCGGAUCCCCUUGUUGUUGUCUGGAAGGUGUUUUUUUUUUUUUCGUGUUGUGUGUGUGCAUGUGUUUGUGUGUGUGUGUGUGUGUGUGUGUGUGUGUGUGUGUGUGUGUGUCUUAGCCGUUGCCAUGCGGAGAUACUGGAGUAUCUCUGUUAUCCUGUGACUCCAAUCUAAUCGCCGGGGCCUUUUGAAGGCUGACAAUGCCUCAUGUUUCGACCACGUCCCCAGGCCAACAUAGUAUGACAUGGUGUCUCUGGCCCCCUCACCUCCUCUCUCCCCCUCUCCUCCUCUCCCCCUCUCCUCCUCUCCCCAGCCUUGUGUCGCUGGACGAGACGUUCACUUUGGCACCACCGCUGUCGUGCAGCAGGCACCGGGGAAACUCUGUUUUGCUCCCCUUCUCACCUCCUCUUUCUAAAUGAAAUUAGUAACAGCCUUCUGUGACGUAUCCAGAGUUGGCACGGGAGAGACACCGAAAGGCGGGGAGGGGGGGGAGAAGGGUGAGAGCCAAGUUAAAUGGCAGCAUAAUGGUGUUGAACCGAACCCGGGUCGAAGCAACAAUAAACACAGCCAUUCCACUCUUAAUCGUUGUUGAACAUCGUUGAAAGCCCCCUGUUAAACCCCGGUAAAAUAAAGUCAAGCACAAGACGAAGUGAAGCGUAAACUUGAGCUGAGGUUGGUGGAAAUGCAACCGCAUACCUCAGAUACAAGAUCGAAUAAGUAUUCUUACGGAUUUUCCCCCCGAUUCACGCAAAAGACUUUCAUUUCCAGCGUGCACAUAAUUGCACACGCACGGUGCACUUUGAAACAAGCAGGGAUCCCUUCGCUGUCUCAUGUAAUCGCGUUUUCUUAAAAAAGAUGCUAUCAGUCCAGGCCUCGUCUUUCUCUCUCUACGUCUCCCCAGCUCGCCCUCUCAGACCACUCUGUUAUCACUCGCCCCCGGCCUGUUUACCUUCUCCCCUAAACUGCUUUCCCAAGCAUGAGACCAGAGCCUGCUCAGAGGACGCUAAGCCCCGCUUAAGUCUCCACACAGACCUUAAAUCCCAGUGUAUAACUGGGGGACUGACCUUUUCAAACAUCAACGUCAGAGGAUCUUGGGGGAUUCAUACAUCGUUGGGAACCAUUUACA
ensembl:lncRNA